rnacentral:rRNA from 1 species
UGGGGAAUAUUGCACAAUGGAGGGAACUCUGAUGCAGCGACGCCGCGUGAGUGAUGAAGGAAUUCGUUUCGUAAAACUCUGUUCUAUGGGAAGAAAAGGACUGUACCAUAGGAGAAAGCUCCGGCUAAAUACGUUCCAGCAGCCGCGGUAAUACGUAUGGAGCGAGCGUUGUCCGGAAUUAUUGGGCGUAAAGGGUGCGCAGGCGGCUUUACAAGUUGGAUGUGAAAUAUUGUGGCUCAACCACAAACGUGCAUCCAAAACUGCAAAGCUUGAGUUAAGGAGAGGUAAGUGGAAUUCCUGGUGUAGCGGUGGAAUGCGUAGAUAUCAGGAGGAAUACCGGUGGCGAAGGCGACUUACUGGACUUAAACUGACGCUCAGGCACGAAAGCGUGGGGAGCAAACAGG